GAUCACUGCAGCAUGGCCUAGCGUUUCUGCUACUGGUUGUGCCCACUGAGCCUUGCCAGCUCAGGCCACCGCUGUCCUUACUGUACUGUCACCUUGUUUCAGAGGUCUUGAGCAAGGAAAGAAGGGUGAAGGUGAGCCUCACUGCCACAGCUCACAAACCCCAGUGGCCUUCCUAGGCCUCCUGUUCCCUGUCUGACAUCUAUGACAGCAGGAGCAUCAACAUUCCAACUGCCCCGGACCCUUGUUAUCUUCUCUUAGGAAGAACCUUUCUCCAUCAGCAGCCGUGUCACCUGUGUCCAGGAAUUGGAGCUUCAGUGUCCCCUGUCAAAUGGGGCCAGAAAAGAUGAAGGAAGAAGUUUCUACACAGACAUGAUGGAGUGGUGAGAGCUCUGUGGCAGAAAGCCGCACAACGCAUUUACAGAUCUGAAAGAAGAUCAAAGUGCUUACAGCUGAAGGUAUACCCAGAAAUGAGAUGAAGUGGGGGCACAGAAGAUCAGCACUGGAGUGAACAUGAGAUCACUGAACCUUCUCUGCAUGGCUGGGAACCCAUCUUGUGAUGUGAAGAGGAGUCUCAUUAGCAGCAUCUGUCAGUAUUGUCUGCAGAAGUCAGUAACACUGGAUGAAUGUAUCCUGAGAAAUAUUUGAUGAAACUUUGCUGUAGAAGCAUUUGUGACAUGUCAACAAUUUCUAGAGAGCACGAGAGAGUCCACAGGGACAAGGAGAAAAGCAAGAUAAGAAAUAUUUUUGUCCUUUCCAAACAGGGUGAGUAAAUAGUCUUGAAUCUACAGAAGAACUGCAU
rnacentral:lncRNA from 1 species